rnacentral:rRNA from 1 species
CCUACGGGGGGCUGCAGUGGGGAAUAUUGGACAAUGGGGGCAACCCUGAUCCAGCCAUGCCGCGGGUGUGAAGAAGGCCCUCGGGUUGUAAAGCACUUUCAGUGAGGAAGAACGCCUGGUGGUUAAUACCCAUCAGGAAAGACAUCACUCACAGAAGAAGCACCGGCUAACUCCGUGCCAGCAGCCGCGGUAAUACGGAGGGUGCGAGCGUUAAUCGGAAUUACGGGGCGUAAAGCGCGCGUAGGUGGCUUGAUAAGCCGGUUGUGAAAGCCCCGGGCUCAACCUGGGAACGGCAUCCGGAACUGUCAAGCUAGAGUGCAGGAGAGGAAGGUAGAAUUCCCGGUGUAGCGGUGAAAUGCGUAGAGAUCGGGAGGAAUACCAGUGGCGAAGGCGGCCUUCUGGACUGACACUGACACUGAGGUGCGAAAGCGUGGGUAGCAAACAGGAUUAGAUACCCGUGUAGUC